CUACGGGACGCAGCAGUCGAGAAUCUUCCGCAAUGGGCGCAAGCCUGACGGAGCAAUGCCGCGUGGGGGAUGACGGCCCUAGGGUUGUAAACCUCUGUCAGAAGGGACGAAGAACGUGACGGUACCUUCAGAGGAAGCCAUGGCUAACUACGUGCCAGCAGCCGCGGUAAUACGUAGAUGGCGAGCGUUAUUCGGAUUUACUGGGCGUAAAGGGUCCGUAGGGGGUCUGCCAAGUCUGAUGUGAAAUCCUGCGGCUCAACCGCGGAACUGCAUUGGAAACUGGCGGACUAGAGUGUGCGAGGGGUGAGCGGAAUUCCUGGUGUAGCGGUGGAAUGCGUAGAUAUCAGGAAGAACACCGAUGGCGAAGGCGGCUCACUGGCGCAUCACUGACCCUGAGGGACGAAAGCGUGGGUAGCAAACAGGAUUAGAUACCCGCGUAGUC
rnacentral:rRNA from 1 species